rnacentral:rRNA from 1 species
UGUGCAGCCCGCAAGAAAAAGCCGAGGGGGUUCUUUAUAAUCCAAAUUAGGGGGCCAAAAUGGGAACUUCUUCUCCCUAUUUUUAACCGGGGGCGGGGGAGGAAAACCCGGGUGGAAACCCCCCCCUUUAAAACUGGGGAAAAUUCUCGGGAAAACCGGGGGGUUUAAUCCCGGGAAUCCCUUUUUUGAACCCGCCAUGGUUCAAAACAUUAAAAGGUGGGCUUUCGGUACCCACUUUACAGAAUGGAACCCGCGGGGGCCUUUAGCUUAGUUGGGUGGGUAAAUGGCUUACCCAAGGCAAACGGAUGCGUAGCCGACCCUUGGAAGGGGUAUUCGGCCCACACUGGGGACUGAGACCCCGGCCCCAGAUUCCUUCCGGGAGGCAGCCGUUAGGGAAUCUUUCGGCAAUGGACGAAAAUCUGAAGGAAGCAAACCCCGCGUGAGUGAUGAAGGUUUUCGGAUUGUAAAAGUUCUGUUGUUAGGGAAGAACAAGUACCGUUCGAAUAGGGCGGUACCUUGACGGUACCUAACCAGAAAGCCACGGCUAACUACGUGCCAGCAGCCGCGGUAAUACGUAGGUGGCAAGCGUUGUCCGGAAUUAUUGGGCGUAAAGGGCUCGCAGGCGGUUCCUUAAGUCUGAUGUGAAAGCCCCCGGCUCAACCGGGGAGGGUCAUUGGAAACUGGGGAACUUGAGUGCAGAAGAGGAGAGUGGAAUUCCACGUGUAGCGGUGAAAUGCGUAGAGAUGUGGAGGAACACCAGUGGCGAAGGCGACUCUCUGGUCUGUAACUGACGCUGAGGAGCGAAAGCGUGGGGAGCGAACAGGAUUAGAUACCCUGGUAGUCCACGCCGUAAACGAUGAGUGCUAAGUGUUAGGGGGUUUCCGCCCCUUAGUGCUGCAGCUAACGCAUUAAGCACUCCGCCUGGGGAGUACGGUCGCAAGACUGAAACUCAAAGGAAUUGACGGGGGCCCGCACAAGCGGUGGAGCAUGUGGUUUAAUUCGAAGCAACGCGAAGAACCUUACCAGGUCUUGACAUCCUCUGACAAUCCUAGAGAUAGGACGUCCCCUUCGGGGGCAGAGUGACAGGUGGUGCAUGGUUGUCGUCAGCUCGUGUCGUGAGAUGUUGGGUUAAGUCCCGCAACGAGCGCAACCCUUGAUCUUAGUUGCCAGCAUUCAGUUGGGCACUCUAAGGUGACUGCCGGUGACAAACCGGAGGAAGGUGGGGAUGACGUCAAAUCAUCAUGCCCCUUAUGACCUGGGCUACACACGUGCUACAAUGGACAGAACAAAGGGCAGCGAAACCGCGAGGUUAAGCCAAUCCCACAAAUCUGUUCUCAGUUCGGAUCGCAGUCUGCAACUCGACUGCGUGAAGCUGGAAUCGCUAGUAAUCGCGGAUCAGCAUGCCGCGGUGAAUACGUUCCCGGGCCUUGUACACACCGCCCGUCACACCACGAGAGUUUGUAACACCCGAAGUCGGUGAGGUAACCUUUAUGGAGCCAGCCGCCGAAGUGAACAGAAAUUGAA